rnacentral:rRNA from 1 species
AUUAGAUACCCUGGGUAGUCCACACUGUAAACGAUGAUAACUAGGUGUGGGGGGUCUGACCCCUUCCGUGCCGCAGCUAACGCAAUAAGUUAUCCACCUGGGGAGUACGACCGCAAGGUUGAAACUCAAAGGAAUUGACGGGGACCCGCACAAGCAGUGGAUUAUGUGGUUUAAUUCGAAGCAACGCGAAGAACCUUACCAGGACUUGACAUCCUACUAACGAAAUGGAGACAUAUUAGGUGCCCUUCGGGGAAAGUAGAGACAGGUGGUGCAUGGUUGUCGUCAGCUCGUGUCGUGAGAUGUUGGGUUAAGUCCCGCAACGAGCGCAACCCUUAUGUUUAGUUGCUACGCAAGAGCACUCUAGACAGACUGCCGUUGACAAAACGGAGGAAGGUGGGGAUGACGUCAAAUCAUCAUGCCCCUUAUGACCUGGGCUACACACGUGCUACAAUGGGCAGUACAACGAGAAGCGAGCCUGCGAAGGCAAGCGGAUCUCUUAAAGCUGUUCUCAGUUCGGACUGCAGUCUGCAACUCGACUGCACGAAGCUGGAAUCGCUAGUAAUCGCGGAUCAGCACGCCGCGGUGAAUACGUUCCCGGGCCUUGUACACACCGCCCGUCACACCAUGGAAGUCUGCAAUGCCCGAAGCCGGUGGCCUAAAUGUGGAAGGAGCCGUCUAAGGCAGGGCAGAUGACUGGGGCUAAGUC